rnacentral:rRNA from 1 species
UACGUAGGGGGCAAGCGUUGUCCGGAAUUAUUGGGCGUAAAGCGCGCGCAGGCGCCUUGUAAGUCUGUCGUUUAAACUCGGAGCUCAACUUCGAGUCGCGAUGGAAACUGCAAAGCUUGAGUGACAGAAGAGGAAAGUGGAAUUCCACGUGUAGCGGUGAAAUGCGUAGAUAUGUGGAGGAACACCAGUGGCGAAGGCGACUCUCUGGUCUGUAACUGACGCUGAGGCGCGAAAGCGUGGGGAGCAAACAGG